AGCUCCAAUAGCGUAUAUUAAAGUUGUUGCGGUAAAAAAGCUCGUAGUUGGAUUUCUGUUGGGGAUGACCGGUCCGUACCACGUACGCGCAUCUGGAUCAGCCUUGACAUCCUCACGAUACGCGAUUCUGCGCUUGAUUGCGUGGUUCGUUUUUCGUGACUUUUACUUUGAGGAAAUUAGAGUGUUCACGGCAGGCUAUCGCCAGAAUACAUUAGCAUGGAAUAAUACUAUAGGAUCUCGGUUCUAUUUUGUUGGUUUCUAGCACCGAGGUAAUGAUUAAUAGGGACAAACGGGGGCAUUCGUAUCAACACGUCAGAGGUGGAAUUCUUGGAUUGUGUUGCGACGAACUACUGCGAAAGCAUCUGCCAUGCAUGUUUUCA
rnacentral:rRNA from 1 species